UCCUUUCUUCUCUUUUCCUUUCUUUUCUUGUCUGUUCUCUUCUUUUCUUUUCUUUUUUCUUUCUUUUUUUGUAGAACUGCAGUACUUGAAAGAAGACCUGGAUUAGUGCUGUGAUUUUCUGGGUACUAAUGAGAUGACUUUCUAUUUACUUUCUGAUUGCUGAAUUUCUCAUUUGUAUAAAUAGGAAUAAUAUUCUCUAAUUCUUAAGAUUAUUUGGACAAUUAAAUGAGGUACUGUAAAAGCACUAAAGCUUUUUAAAAGAAUAGCUCAUUGUUAUUAUGAAUCUAUGACUAAUAGGAAGAAAAAAGCAGAUGUGAUCAACAUAGACACACCCCAGGAGUCACAGCAAGGCUAAAACAGAGAUACUGCAGAUUUUCCAACAACCCAACCUGAUUCUCCUCACGGCAAAAGGAGAAAUCAAUCAAAGGUGAUUUAAAAAGUCCCAAAGAUCCAGUAACUCGGACUUAAAGCCAAGUGUAUAAGAACUGAGUAUGUGGAAGGUUGUUUCCGAAGCUAUGUUUCCUCCAUUAUCUCUGGAAAACAAAAUUGUUCCACAUUGCAGUACAUGAUGGAGUAUAUUCUGCUUGAUGACCUCCCAACUGAAUACUACAAGAAGUUGUUGUGUAAUGUAACAAGAUACAACCAG